UGGUCAAAAUACUGAUUUUGGGGGAUAAGAAUACUGAAAAUGCAAAAUACAACUUGGCAGCUCUGCCUUAAGUAGAGUCAUUCUUUCCUCAGAAUUCUUCAGAGCCUAUCAGUAGGGGAGUUGAGAAGUUUUGAAAAGCGUGAAAAUAAGCAUGCACGUGCUUAUAUGCACGUUUUCUUUCCUGCCAGUCCUUCCAAAAACGUUAUUAUAAGCACGUUUGGGCCAGUUUUUAGGCUUUAGCAGCCAGGCUUUUCGAAAGCCAAAAAUUUGAUUGACACCAUCAGAAGGAGCAGGAAAAAUUACAUCGUAUACCACUUUAUAAAAAAAUUCACCGUCUAAUUUUCCUACAACAGCUGAUUGAAGCAACUACAACGAUCGAUUCCAAAUUUUACCGUCGCUACGUCACUUGUCCCUUGGGCUUCCAGCAAACGUUCUUAUAUGCAGGUUUCCACAUCCAGGGAAGUUCUGCCUCGAGUGUCUGAUUUGUUUUAUUAGGAUAAGGUUAGAGAGGGUGUCUAUAAAAUUCCCAAAGGAGACUUGCGCUUGCUCUUGGCAUGCCCCUAAAUCAAUAUGUCACUUGAAUAUUUUCUACUUUUGGUUUGGUCGAGGUGGCAUGUGUGGAAAUAAAAUGUUCAUUAUUCUGUUUAGUAUGUCUAGGCUGUUCGGCAUAAUGUUUUUUUUGUGUGUGUGGGAUCUUAAAGUUCUUUCACCUUUCACUGUUUUAUGAGAAAAUCUCUAUUCAGAUUGUUUAAAUUUUGUUCUAAGAAAAUUAUCAGACUGUUUAAAAUUAUACAUUCUGUAGAAUUUAUUUGCAUGUAUUUGAUGUGAACAAUAUUAUGUAUACAGUUGUUUUCUUAUCCUUAAUUGUUGAAUUUCGUAUACUGUGGAUAAUAUACAUGUAUGCUUGAAAGCAAUGUCAAAAUGUAUAUUUUCUUUAUCUCCUAUUAAAGGUAAAAAGCAUAUAUACAUUUGUAUACAUAUAUAUAUACAUGCCUAUGAAUCUAAGUCUGUCACUGUCACACUGUUUUGGACUCCUUGCCUUGCUAGACACAGAUUUUCAUAUUUGCCCCGAUAAGAAAUCUCUUUGAUGAUUAUUAUCACUCAGUUGCCAGUAUUCCUUACGUAGAGUCAAUCUUUCCUCAGAAUUCUUCGGAGCUGAUGAAUCUAACUCUGUCACUGUCACAGUGUUUUGGACUCCUUGCCUUGCUAGACACAGAUUUUCAUAUUUGCCCCGAUAAGAAAUCUCUUUGAUGAUUGUAAUCACUCAGUUGCCAGUAUUCCUUACGUAGAGUCAUUCUUUCCUCAGAAUUCUUCAGAGCCUAUGAAUCUAAAUCUGUCACUGUCACAGUGUUAUGGACUCCUUGCUGUCCUGCCCUCUCUAUUUGUGUCAAUUCUUAUUGUCCAGAAAUAUGAAUAUUUUCCACUUGUUUAAAUACUACAGGUACUAUACCUGUUUGUGUUCUUUGCAAGAUACAGUGGCGGACCGUGACCCCGAGGAGACAAAGCAUUGGGGGGGCACGGCAUUGUUCACAAACAAUGCAGUGCCCCCCCCCCCCCAAUGCUCUGUCUCCUCCGGGUCACGGUCCGCUACUGGCAAGAUAUGUCAAUGUCUGUUUUUAAUGAAAUAACCGCAACCCAUAGAUAAACAUAUGCAAUCGUGGGGACGCACGCAUCUCUUGCGGGUGCAAGUUAUGGCAAGCUAUCUAUGUCUACCUUGUAUUUCUGUAGUUCACCACAUAUUUUUCUGUUUAAAAUGAAAUGCACUCUUCUUGGCCAUUCCGUACUUUUAUACCGUGGUGUGGGCAGUAAGUAGAGUCUGAUGUACCUUUAAAGGUUGAUGCCAUGGCAUUCAGAGUAGAGUAGAACUUCUUGUGACCAUAUCCAAGGCCAUUUAGUCUCUGUUCGGUCUGGUUUGGUAGGGAACGUAAAGCUUCUAUUGCAUGAUGUGAAGAGGUCAAUGAUCUAAUUCAUUUGUUUUCUUCUGAUUGACAUUCUUUUUUAUAUAAAGUCAUGAAAAGCAACCAUUGUACAAACAUUAACAAUAUGAAUUUACACAUUAUUCAACUCAUUUUAUUCACAUCUACAGUGUUUAAACCACACCAAAAAUAUUUGACAGAUCAAUUUUGAUGAAUCCAUGCGAAUCACAUGAUACAACAUAUAAGAAUGAUUUACAGUUGAGCUAAAAAGGUAGUGAAACCCACCACAAGAUGCUCUCCUUCAUGCUGAGUGUUGAAUGUAGAUGAUAACACUACAAUGUUCGGCCAGCUCCGGGAACACAACCCCCUGGACAUUUUUCAUGAUAAAUCUGUAACAUAAGGAUCUUCUACUGGUAUCCUUAUCCAUUUAGUCUCUGUCGAGUCUGGUUUUGUCACUGUGUUGCAAGUAUCGAGUAGAGUCCGAUGUAUGGUUGAUGCUUUUGUUUUCAAUGUAGAAUAGAACUUCUUGUGACCAUAUCCAAGGCCAUUUAGUCUCUGUUCGGUCUGGUUUGGUAGGGAACGUAAAGCUUCUUCUUCGUGAUGUGAAGAGGUCGAUGAUUCAAUUCAUUUGUUUUCUUCUGAUUGACAUUCCUUUUUAUAUAAAGUCAUGAAAAGCAACCAUUGUACAAACAUUAAAGAAUAUGAAUUUAGACAUUAUUCAACUCAUUUUAUUCACAUCUACAGUGUUUAAAACCAUACCAAAAAUAUUUGACAGAUCAAUUUUGAUGAAUCCACGCGAAUCACAUGAUACAACAUAUAAGAAUGAUUUACAGUUGAGCUAAAAAGGUAGUGAAACCCACCACAAGAUGCUCUCCUUCAUGCUGAGUGUUGAAUGUAGAUGAUAACACUACAAUGUUCGGCCAGCUCCGGGAACACAACCCCCUGGACAUUUUUCAUGAUAAAUCUGUAACAUAAGGAUCUUCUACUGGUAUCCUUAUCCAUUUAGUCUCUGUCUAGUCUGGUUUUGUCACUGUGUUGCAAGUAUCGAGUAGAGUCCGAUGUAUGGUUGAUGCUUUUGUUUUCAAUGUAGAAUAGAACUUCUUGUGACCAUAUCCAAGGCCAUUUAGUCUCUGUUCAGUCUGGUUUGGUAGGGAACGUAAAGCUUCUUCUUCGUGAUGUGAAGAGGUCAAUGAUUCAAUUCAUUUGUUUUCUUCUGAUUGACAUUCCUUUUUAUAUAAAGUCAUGAAAAGCAACCAUUGUACAAACAUUAAACAAUAUGAAUUUACACAUGUAUGUAUGAUGUAUGGUUGAUGCUUUUGUUUUCAAUGUAGAAUAGAACUUCUUGUGACCAUUUCCAAGGCCAUUUAGUCUCUGUUCGGUCUGGUUUGGUAGGGAACGUAAAGCUUCUUCUUCGUGAUGUGAAGAGGUCAAUGAUUCAAUUCAUUUGUUUUCUUCUGAUUGACAUUCUUUUUAUAUAAAGUCAUGAAAAGCAACCAUUCUACAAACAUUAAAGAAUAUGAAUUUAGACAUUAUUCAACUCAUUUUAUUCACAUCUACAGUGUUUAAACCACACCAAAAAUAUUUGACAGAUCAAUUUUGAUGAAUCCACGCGAAUCACAUGAUACAACAUAUAAGAAUGAUUUACAGUUGAGCUCAAAAGUUAUUGAACCCCAC